rnacentral:rRNA from 1 species
GACUAUGACUAUAUUGCCCUGAAAUCACCUGACCUUGUCUGUUCUCAGAAGCUAAUCAGGGUGAGACCUGGUUAGUACUUUGGUUUCAGAGAUUUGUAGAUCUAGACU